ensembl:lncRNA
AGCCUAGUGCUUAGAGUGUAGAGGCAGGCAGCCUAGUGGUUAGAGUGUAGAGGAGGCAGGCAGCCUAGUGGUUAGAGUGUAGAGGCAGCAGGUAGCCUAGUGGUUAGAGUGUAGAGGUGGCAGGUAGCCUAGUGGUUAGAGUGUAGAGGAGGCAGGUAGCCUAGUGGUUAGAGUGUAGAGGAGGCAGGUAGCCUAGUGGUUAGAGUGUAGAGCUGGCAGGUAGCCUAGUGGUUAGAGUGUAGAGGGGGCAGGUAGCCUAGUGGCUAGAGGCAGGUAGCCUAGUGGUUAGAGUGUAGAGGGGGCAGGUAGCCUAGUGGUUAGAGUGUAGAGGCGGCAGGUAAACUAGUGGUUAGAGUGUAGAGGGGGCAGGUAGCCUAGUGGUUAGAGUGUAGAGGCGGCAAG